rnacentral:misc_RNA from 1 species
AACUUUCGACAACGGUUCACUUGGUUCUGGCAUCGAUGAAGAACGCAGCGAAAUGCGAUAAGUAAUGUGAAUUGCAGAAUUCAGUGAAUCAUCGAAUCUUUGAACGCACAUUGCGCCCCCUGGUAUUCCGGGGGGCAUGCCUGUUCGAGCGUCAUUACAACCCUCAAGCUCUGCUUGGUAUUGGGCCCCGCCGGUUCCGGCGGGCCCUAAAGUCAGUGGCGGUGCCAUCCGGCUCCGAGCGUAGUAAUUCUUCUCGCUCUGGAGACCCGGCUGUGUGCUUGCCAGCAACCCCCAAUUUUUUAAGGUUGACCUCGGAUCAGGUAGGGAUACCCGCUGAACUUAAGCAUAUCAAUAAGCGGAGGAU